rnacentral:tRNA from 1 species
GGGGGAGUAGCUCAGUGGAUAGAGCAACUGCCUUCUAAGCAGUCGGUCGCGGGUUCGACUCCCGCCUUCCCCGCCA